rnacentral:rRNA from 1 species
GAUGAACGCUAGCUACAGGCUUAACACAUGCAAGUCGAGGGGAAACGACAUCGAAAGCUUGCUUUUGAUGGGCGUCGACCGGCGCACGGGUGAGUAACGCGUAUCCAACCUGCCCAUCACUUGGGGAUAACCUUGCGAAAGUAAGACUAAUACCCAAUGAUAUCUCUAGAAGACAUCUGAAAGAGAUUAAAGAUUUAUCGGUGAUGGAUGGGGAUGCGUCUGAUUAGCUUGUUGGCGGGGUAACGGCCCACCAAGGCAACGAUCAGUAGGGGUUCUGAGAGGAAGGUCCCCCACAUUGGAACGGAGACACGGUCCAAACUCCUACGGGAGGCAGCAGUGAGGAAUAUUGGUCAAUGGGCGAGAGCCUGAACCAGCCAAGUAGCGUGCAGGAAGACGGCCCUAUGGGUUGUAAACUGCUUUUAGAAGGGAAUAAAGUGAGAGUCGUGACUCUUUUUGUAUGUACCUGAUGAAUAAGGACCGGCUAAUUCCGUG